rnacentral:rRNA from 1 species
AUACGGGGGGCGCAAGCGUUGUCCGGAAUCACUGGGCGUAAAGCGCACGUAGGCGGCCAGGUCAGUCACCUGUGAAAUCCCGGAGCUCAACUUCGGGCCUGCAGGUGAUACUGCGUGGCUAGAGCAUGGUAGAGGCAAGUGGAAUUCCCGGUGUAGCGGUGGAAUGCGUAGAUCUCGGGAAGAACACCAGUGGCGAAGGCGACUUGCUGGGCCAUUGCUGACGCUGAGGUGCGAAAGCGUGGGUAGCAAACAGGAUUAGAAACCCCAGUAGUCC